CCUGGCUCAGGAUGAACGCUAGCGGGAGGCCUAACACAUGCAAGCCGAGCGGUAGAGAUCUUUCGGGAUCUUGAGAGCGGCGUACGGGUGCGGAACACGUGUGUAACCUGCCUUUAUCUGGGGGAUAGCCUUUCGAAAGGAAGAUUAAUACCCCAUAAUAUGUUGGAUGGCAUCAUUCGACAUUGAAAACUCCGGUGGAUAGAGAUGGGCACGCGCAAGAUUAGAUAGUUGGUGAGGUAACGGCUCACCAAGUCUGCGAUCUUUAGGGGGCCUGAGAGGGGGAUCCCCCAAACUGGUGCUGAGACACGGCCCAGACGACGAGGG
rnacentral:rRNA from 1 species